rnacentral:rRNA from 1 species
AUACGGAGGGUGCGAGCGUUAAUCGGAAUUACUGGGCGUAAAGCGCGCGUAGGCGGUUAGGUCAGUCAGAUGUGAAAGCCCUGGGCUUAACCUGGGAACGGCAUUUGAUACUGCUUAGCUAGAGUGUGGUAGAGGGGAGUGGAAUUCCCGGUGUAGCGGUGAAAUGCGUAGAGAUCGGAAGGAACAUCAGGGGCGAAGGCGGCUUUCUGGGCUGAAACUGACACUGAGGUGCGAAAGCGUGGGGAGCAAACAGGAUUAGAAACCCCAGUAGUCC